rnacentral:rRNA from 1 species
GUCUAUGGCCAUGCCACCCUGAACAAGCCUGAUGUCUGAUCUUGGAAGCUAAGUAGGGUCAGACCUGGUUAGUACUUGGAUGGGAGACCACUUAGGAAGACCAGGUGCUGCAGGCA